rnacentral:rRNA from 1 species
AGAGCGAACGCUGGCGGCAGGCUUAACACAUGCAAGUCGAGCGGAUGUAGCAAUACAUCAGCGGCAGACGGGAUAGUAACACGUGGGAACGCGCCCUUUGGUUCGGAAUAACUCAGGGAAACUUGAGCUAAUACCGGAUAAGCCCUUACGGGGAAAGAUUUAUCGCCAAAGGAACGGCCCGCGUCCGAUUAGCUAGUUGGUGAGGUAAUGGCUCACCAAGGCGACGAUCGGUAGCUGGUCUGAGAGGAUGACCAGCAUCACUGGGACUGAGACACGGCCCAGACUCCUACGGGAGGCAGCAGUGGGGAAUAUUGGACAAUGGGCGCAAGCCUGAUCCAGCCAUGCCGCGUGGAUGAUGAAGGCCCUAGGGUUGUAAAGUCCUUUUAACGGGGAAGAUAAUGACGGUACCCGUAGAAUAAGCCCCGGCUAACUUCGUGCCAGCAGCCGC